rnacentral:rRNA from 1 species
GUGCCAGCCGCCGCGGUAAUACGAAGGUCCCAAGCGUUGUUCGGAAUCACUGGGCGUAAAGGGAGCGUAGGCGGCGUGGUAAGUCAGAUGUGAAAUCCCGGGGCUCAACCCCGGAACUGCAUCCGAUACUGCCAUGCUAGAGGAUUGGAGAGGUGACUGGAAUUCUCGGUGUAGCAGUGAAAUGCGUAGAUAUCGAGAGGAACACUCGUGGCGAAAGCGAGUCACUGGACAAUUCCUGACGCUGAGGCUCGAAGGCUAGGGUAGCGAAAGGGAUUAGAUACCCCUGUAGUCCUAGCAGUAAACGGUGCACGCUUGGUGUGAGGGGAAUCGACCCCCCUUGUGCCGGAGCUAACGCGUUAAGCGUGCCGCCUGGGAAGUACGGUCGCAAGACUAAAACUCAAAGAAAUUGACGGGGACCCGCACAAGCGGUGGAGUAUGUGGCUUAAUUCGAUGCAACGCGAAGAUCCUUACCUAGGCUUGACAUGCAUCUCUAAUCACGUGAAAGCGUGUGACCCUUCGGGGAAUUUGCACAGGUGCUGCAUGGCCGUCGUCAGCUCGUGUCGUGAGAUGUUGGGUUAAGUCCCGCAACGAGCGCAACCCUUGUGACUAGUUGCCAGCACGUAAUGGUGGGAACUCUAGUCAGACUGCCCAGAUCAACUGGGAGGAAGGUGGGGACGACGUCAGGUCAGUAUGGCCCUUACGCCUAGGGCUGUACACGUACUACAAUGCCCAGCACAAUGAGAACCAAUACCGCGAGGUGGAGGAAAUCUGUAAAACUGGGCCCAGUUCGGAUUGGAGGCUGCAACUCGCCUCCAUGAAGUUGGAAUCGCUAGUAAUGGCGCAUCAUCUACGGCGCCGUGAAUACGUUCCCGGGUCUUGUACACACCGCCCGUCACAUCAUGGAAGCCGGUCGCACCCGAAGUGCUCGCACCAACCGCAAGGGGGUAGAGUCCUAAGGUGUAGCUGGUAACUGGGAUGAAGUCGUAACAAGGUAACC